rnacentral:rRNA from 1 species
AAUGAACGUUGGCGGCGUGGAUUAGGCAUGCAAGUCGAGCGAGAAUUUGCGAUUGGAAGCUUCGGCCGAAGAAAGUGAAGGAAAGCGGCAAACGGCGUAGUAAGGCGUAGGUACGUACCCUCGGGUCGGGAAUAGCCAUGGGAAACUGUGGGUAAUGCCCGAUAAUCUCUGCGGAGCAAAGGUGUGAUUCCGCCGGAGGAGCGGCUUACGUGAUAUUAGCUAGUUGGUGGGGUAAUGGCCUACCAAGGCAACGAUGUCUAGGGGGUGUGAGAGCAUGGCCCCCACGACCGGAACUGAGACACUGUCCGGACACCUACGGGUGGCUGCAGUCGAGAAUCUUCCGCAAUGGGCGAAAGCCUGACGGAGCGACGCCGCGUGGUGGAUGAAGGCCCUUGGGUUGUAAACACCUGUCAGAGGGGAUGAAAGCGCAAGCUUGACAGAGCCCCAGAGGAAGCACGGGCUAAGUUCGUGCCAGCAGCCGCGGUAAAGUCUAGC